ACGCACGCUGGCGGCAUGCCUAACACAUGCAAGUCGAACGAGACCUUCGGGUCUAGUGGCGCACGGGUGCGUAACGCGUGGGAACCUGCCCUUAGGUUCGGAAUAACUCCCCGAAAGGGGUGCUAAUACCGGAUAAUGUCUUCGGACCAAAGAUUUAUCGCCUUUGGAUGGGCCCGCGUUGGAUUAGCUAGUUGGUAGGGUAAAAGCCUACCAAGGCGACGAUCCAUAGCUGGUCUGAGAGGAUGAUCAGCCACACUGGGACUGAGACACGGCCCAGACUCCUACGGGAGGCAGCAGUGGGGAAUAUUGGACAAUGGGCGAAAGCCUGAUCCAGCAAUGCCGCGUGAGUGAUGAAGGCCUUAGGGUUGUAAAGCUCUUUUACCCGGGAUGAUAAUGACAGUACCGGGAGAAUAAGCGCCGGCUAACUCCGUG
rnacentral:rRNA from 1 species